GCAAGCAAUGUGACAUUUCAGGUACUACAGCAAUCUUAAUUGCAAGUCAUUCUAGUAGCGGAGGUGACUAAUGUAAUAAAUACGCACACAUGCAUCGAUACAGACAGCACUCAUUGCAAAAAUGACUGCCAGUCAUUUCUCUAACCAGAAUGUACUAUGAUGUGUACUCUGCUGUUGAAGUUUUAGUGGUGCUUCUGAAUGCCAUACAGCUGGGCCCCACUCUUAAAAAUAGCAGCGAGAUAUGAAUAAGUGCUGUUUGGUUCAGCAGGAAAGAAGAAAACAUCACCUCAGUAGGAACAGAUGAGUCUGGUUAGGUUUUAUGUCUCUUGCUGAAAAACUGCAAAGGAAUAGCUGUAUUUCACAGUGAAAAUUGCAUUUAAUUGAAAGCAAAACAUUCAAGCACCCAAAAGAGAAGUGAGAAGAAGGGAUCCCACUCACAGGGGGAUAGUGGAGCUGAGAGGCUGUCCCUCUAGUCUGGUGGCCAACGGGGCACAGUCCUGUGAGGUUCUGGGGAAGGAGUGGGCUCAAUGAGUGAAAGAUGCUAACACGACCCAGACACUCUGCAACAUUAAACACUUAAAAAGGUUUGGGGUUUUGAAUACAGAGACCUCAGCCUACUUGGUUACCAUGGCAAACAAUCACCAAUAGAAGUCUUUUAAUCUUUAAUUAAAGAUACACAAAAAAGGAGAAAAAACAGUUUAAGCACUUGAAAAAUAAGACUUUAUGCUUUAAAAGUGUCCAUUAUCCCUCUUCCCUUAGCUGUCAACAGUUUUUGUAGCAGUGCUUCCCUCCCUUUAUUUAAGGUCAUAGCAGCACUCACUGUUUUUUGGGAGACACUCAUUGAGAUAGACUGGAUCUGCUGUUAGUACUCAUUUUGGGAUUCUGCUUUGCUCAUUUGAAGACACAGGCAUGCAGGAGGGGAGAGGAAAGGAGAGCAAAGACAAAAAUUAUUACUUCCUCUUCAGGUGUUGACUUUUACUUGCAGCCUCACUGCUAGAAAAAGACAAGCACAACACAUGGACUUAUCAGCCCCUCUCUGAUCAAGGGGAUUUAUAUCAGCGUCUGUCUCAUUUAGACAUUGCUUUUGGUUGUCUCCUUGAUUGCAGUUCACAGCUGUGUUGUACAACCCGUACCCUCCUAUCUAGGAUAGUUUGAUUAAAAGGAAGGUAAAAGAAAGAAAAGGCAGAGAAGCAUGUGAAAAGACUGCAAAGCUACUGAGAGAAGGGUGGCUUCAGGACCCCAAGUCUUCCCUUCCAAGUGGGUUUCCAGGACUGCACUGAAAUUGGUGGACAUAGCGAUGACUCCCAUGUAUCUCCUCACCAGAAACUCACCAGAAGGUCUGACCAGAUCAAGUAAGUGUAGAAUCAUAGAAUCACAAAGGUUGAAAAACACCCACAGGAUCAUCCAGUCCAACCAUUCACCUGUCACCAGUGGUUCUCACUAAACCAUGUCCUUCAACACAACGUCCAAAUGUUCCUUGAAAUACCAACAGUGUCACAGCAGAGACUUAGAUCUCGAAGUUGACAACGACAGCUGUCAGCAUGUCUCCUUUCUGUCCACCUAUUCUAGGAUCAGUAUCAAAAUGGAUGUACCCCAGAGGAUGAUGUACAUGCCACCAGUCACCAGUUGGCUUUAGCUCCUGGCACAUGAGUUUUGGUCCAUUGAUUUUGGCAUUUAUCUUGUACAUCAGGCCUGAUGUCAGCACAGUCCUUGGUUAAUAUUAGGAAGACUUUCUGAUUGAACUAAUUUGGUCUUCCCAUCUUUAACUUGUGCUGACUUCUCCAAGUAAUUUUCUCCAGCAGACUGAGCUGCACUUUCUCACCUCUGUGAACUUUAGCACAUGCGUUUGCCUGAUGUGCUUGCGUAGGAUGUUCAAUGCCCUCUUCUGCUUCCCUGUCUACCCUUCUUCUUUUCCAGGAGAAUACCACAGUCACAAGAGCAGGGGUACCCUGGGAGAGGCUCUGCCAAUGGCACUUUCAUAUUCCUUAGUAGCGCAAUACUCAUUAGCACAGACUGGGGAAGCCAGGUGAAUUGUGUCCAUGAGUGUCUCUACUGGGGUCUGGAAAGAGGACACAUAAGUGGUGAGGAGUAAGAACAACCCACCUUAGUAUGCAGCACAGCACAACCUUAUGGCAUUCUCUUGGGAGAUAAGUGAUGCUGGUUCUAGUUCCCCCAGGCAGAGGAGGAAAUUAAACCCAGGACUCCCACAUCCUUUAUGAGCGAAUAAAAAGUGGCUGUCUUCCUCUCAGCUUUGUGAAUAUAAUCGUGAUAUUUUCUUCCGGGGAAUCAAUUUGGUAAGUCCACGCUGAAUUCAACAAUCAUUUUGGGACAAUGGAAAAAAAAAGCAAACAUUUUUCAAUGAGAAGGAUGCUGGCUAAAAAAACAUUCUAUUGACUGUAGUGGCAGUACAACAACCAGACAGACCCCAUCACUCUGCCACUUUAUAUCCAGCAGCUGUAGGACAGGAAACUCUCAUACUUGCAGACAGCGGAGGAACUUACCUGGCAAUGUGAAAUCUUGCUAGGAAAAAAGGGUUGUGCGGGAGUAAUGAAAUCCUCUGGGAAUGGCAGAUGAAACCUGAACACCGGUGGGACUGCCUUGAGUUCUGACACAAUUACCACAGUGCAUAAGAAAAACCUGCAAAGAACAGGCUCACUCCGAGGGCUGAGAUGUGACCAGUGUCCCAGUUAUUAUUAGCUACUAAAGGUCUGAAAAGGUUCAAACUCCAUCUUUGUAGGAAUUCAAACAGAGGGAUGCAUGAGGCCUUGCUGACGGCUUCCAGACUGAAAAAGAAAGCGGAGGGAAAAGGGGCAUUUCUCUGACCUUCCUCGGUGAUUGCUCAGAACUGUGUCUACUGAUGGCCGUGUCCAACACCGACAAGAAGAGGCAAGAGAAGUCAAAAUCUGAGGAGUGAGAUGUUCUGCUAGCACAGAAAAGCCACCUGGAGAAACAAAAACAAAUGUCACACAGCUGCGAGUGGGAGAAAUGCUAUUGUUUUCCUGGUAGCCCGUCCUUCCAGUCUUCUGAGAGAAGCGGGGGAAGGAGGAUUUGACCCUCACUGAGUGAAGGAGUUGCUGAUUUAGUCAAGUCAAGAACAGGAUGCGACGCUUUGGUCUAGUGCAUUGACAUUUGCAUCUCUGAGUGAGAAUGCUUAUUUUCAUUGGAGGAACAGCAAGACUGCCUUUUGAAACAUUUAAAGAGAGUCAGAAACUGUGUAGCUGUGAGGCCUUGAUUGGAGGGAGCAAGUCCACUGAAGGGGAGCACGCAGAGAAAAGCAGGCGUGUGAAGAGGCUGCUUGCUGGCACAGCAGACCACAGCAUUUGCUACGGCGGUCGUAGAUCAGGCUGCUCACGGAAAGGGGCCCUUGUCUGAAGAUUCCCACUCCAGUCCCAUUGACUUUAUGGAUAGUCCUCGGGAUCUUGUCUGAGCACAUCCAAAUGUUUGUACAGCACCUGAUGCAAACAGGCCGUCGUCCUGCUUCAUUUGUCAAAUGAUAAAUAACAUAAUAAUGCUGUAAUUGGAGUCAUUCAUACAGACAGUAAUCAUCUGGUGAUUCAGUACAGCACAGACUUGUGAGGUGGAAGGCUGCGCUAAGCUUAUGCAGAGACUUCUAUCUUGCUCAUCAGUUUCUGCACGCUAAAUAUAUUCUGAAUUUACGAAUGCUGAAGUUUUAAGUGCCUCCCGGUGAAACUCAUUCAUUAAGAAGCAAAAGCUAGGAGACAUAAACGUGAGAUGCUUGCAGCCUGCUGAUGGACGUUUUGCAGUAGGGAGAAUGCUGGAUCACUAAUCAUUCCCUUGGCAUAUCAGCAAUGCACAUGCCACCCAACGGGAAGGGUGGGCAGAUUUCUGCCUGGCUGAGUGCAGCGGUGCUGCUCGCAGCCCCUGAGCCCCAGCAGUGAUUUCGCGACCCGCGGGAAGCGCUGCUAGCUCGUACCUCUGGCCUGCCACUGAAUGGAUUGCCAGCAUGAGGCAUGGAGCCUCUGGGAGCUGUGCGGGAGGUGAAUGCGAAAGCAAGCACAGAAGAAAGUCAGGCUCCUGCAGACUUCAACAGGCACGCUUCCCUUCCCACAGAAGAAAAAGCUGUUACUACGUAGAGGCAACGUUAGAAAAAUCACACAGAGCACAAAGGGAAGUCUACCUCUGGGUUUUUAGGUAAGCUGAGGGGAAUCCCUGCAGCCUUUUCCCCUCCUUUACUUUUUCUUUUCUAAUACUAGUGCCGCAGAGGACUGCGUCUGUGUGCAUGAAAUCAGUGCUGCUCUUUAAAUACUUUUCUCCCCCCAACGCCGCUCCAGUUCCUGGUUCAGUUUUGAAUGGAGAUCUUAAGCGAAAGCAGCAAAACACCAACUGGCUGGAAAAUUGGCCAUGAAGGAGCGCAGUUAUUAGGAACCAGAUGCUUCAGCCGAGAGGAAGCAGGAUACGGGAGGCCUUCCAAAAGUGGGUUACCAAGGGGCCUUAGAGACGGACAAGCACCAAAAGCAUCAGUUAUCCACUUGAGCAUUCGCAUGUGUUUGCUUAGGGCUUUGAGUGGCCUGCAACCACAAGACUGGGAUUUGGGUUCCUCUGUGCAGCCUCUGAGAUUUCCACACAUUGCUGAGCUGCUUUUCUCCAGGUCUUGGGAGUGUCAAGACUAGAGAAGCAAGUUGUCACUGGGUGAUCAUUCAUACCAGACACAUCCCCCAGUGUGCUCGAGGGUUGCAUAUGCCUAUGCUGCGUCUGUGGGUAACCGUGGAACUUCACAUACAAGCAGAACCACCUGGCUCCUUUCAAAAGACAAAUAGCACAUCAAAGCAGAUUUUUAUCAUCAUUGUUACACUCUCCGGCCCCCCUGCGAGAGGAUUUUCAUGCUGUCAUUUCAGGGAUGAAAUAAAUUUUUUUGGGAAAGCAAAAUUCUGCCCUGACUUUUAUUUAUUUAGAGCAAUGCUGAUGACUGUAACUGCAUGUCCCCUUGGUGGAAACAAUGAAAGCAACUCC
ensembl:lncRNA